rnacentral:ncRNA from 1 species
UUUCUAAAUAUAUAAAUUUUUAUAAUAUACGUGUUUAAAUAAUAAAAUUAAUUUAACAUAAAAUUUUAAUUGUUAAUGAAAAUUAAUAUUAGGAAUUAUUAUCGUUUGAGUAAAGUUAGUGCCAGCAGUAGCGGUUAGACAAAAUAAGUUAUUGAAUUUAAAAAUUAUUUAUUACUAAUUAUUUAAAUUAUAAUUAAAAUAAAAAUUUUAAAAUAAAAUUAAAAUUUUAAAUUAAUUAUUUAAAUUAAUAUUAAAAUUAAUAAAGUAUAUAAUUAAACUAGGAUUAGAUACCCUAUUAUUUAUAAUUAAUUAUUUAUAAUAAAAAUUAAAUUAUUUUAAAUUUAAAAAUUAUGGCGGUAUUUUAUUUAAUUAGGGGAACUUGUUAUGUAAUUGAUAAUCCACGAUAGGAAAUUAUUUAAAUUUAAAUUAUGUAUGUUCGUUUAAAAAAUUUUAUAAAAUAAUUUUUAUAUAUUAAAUUUUUAAAAUAUUUCAGAUCAAUAUGUAUUAUAUUUAAAAAUUUUAUGAGUUACAAUAAAUUAAUUUUAUGGUUUUAAAUUUUGAAUAUUUUAAAUAAAUUGGAUUUAAUAGUAAAAUUUUUAAAUUUAUUAAUUUGAAAUUUAUUUAAAAUAUGUACAAAUUGCCCGUCACUUCUAACUUUAGAAUAAGUCGUAACAAAGUAAAUGUACUGGAAAGUGUAUUUAGAUUUAAUUGAUAAAGAUUUAAUAAUGUAAUAUAUAUAUAUAUAU